AGACUCAGUGAAAUUGAACUCGCUGUGAAGAUGCAGUGUACCCGCGGCAAGACGGAAAGACCCCGUGAACCUUUACUAUAGCUUGACACUGAACAUUGAGCCUUGAUGUGUAGGAUAGGUGGGAGGCUUUGAAGCGUGGACGCCAGUCUGCGUGGAGCCGACCUUGAAAUACCACCCUUUAAUGUUUGAUGUUCUAACGUGGAUCCGUAAUCCGGGUUGCGGACAGUGUCUGGUGGGUAGUUUGACUGGGGCGGUCUCCUCCUAAAGAGUAACGGAGGAGCACGAAGGUUGGCUAAUCCUGGUCGGACAUCAGGAGGUUAGUGCAAUGGCAUAAGCCAGCUUGACUGCGAGCGUGACGGCGCGAGCAGGUGCGAAAGCAGGUCAUAGUGAUCCGGUGGUUCUGAAUGGAAGGGCCAUCGCUCAACGGAUAAAAGGUACUCCGGGGAUAACAGGCUGAUACCGCCCAAGAGUUCAUAUCGACGGCGGUGUUUGGCACCUCGAUGUCGGCUCAUCACAUCCUGGGGCUGAAGUAGGUCCCAAGGGUAUGGCUGUUCGCCAUUUAAAGUGGUACGCGAGCUGGGUUUAGAACGUCGUGAGACAGUUCGGUCCCUAUCUGCCGUGGGCGCUGGAGAACUGAGGGGGGCUGCUCCUAGUACGAGAGGACCGGAGUGGACGCAUCACUGGUGUUCGGGUUGUCAUGCCAAUGGCACUGCCCGGUAGCUAAAUGCGGAAGAGAUAAGUGCUGAAAGCAUCUAAGCACGAAACUUGCCCCGA
rnacentral:rRNA from 1 species